CUUGCCCUUUAAGGUGUUGUAGAUGUGACUACCGUGUCACAUAUGCGACCAUAGGGAGUAGAGAGGAGAGGGGUUAUGUCUAUACUCAUCGUUCUGCCCUAAGUACAUCUGAACAACUACUAGCCAGACAUU
ensembl:snoRNA Gm24212 small nucleolar RNA SNORA17